CCCCUCCCUCAUUGAAUGUCACGCCCCGUGACCGCUACCAAUUUGGCUCGGCCCGGGCGCGUCGAACAGACGCCAGACGGACAGCACCUCCUCUGUCCGCCCAAGGCUAACAACGAGAUUGUGUACAACAAGUUUCCAGGAAAAUAACUUGAAUACAUACACAAUCGAUAACGAAGCACACAAGUGCACUACAUCUAAGAGCAAGAAUCACAAGUAACAUACAAGUGAAAUAAAGAGAGAUACAUCUAGCUAUUACAUCUCAUUUAACCUUUACAUAUUGGUUUACAUUUUCAUCUUCCCAAAUAAAUAUAUAUUCUUCUCAUAAUACAAAAUGGCUCUCCAAAUACAUAAGUAACUUCCAAAUACAUCUACAUCUCUAUGUACACGAGG
rnacentral:lncRNA from 1 species